rnacentral:rRNA from 1 species
UACAGAGGGUGCGAGCGUUGUCCGGAAUCACUGGGCGUAAAGGGCGCGUAGGUGGCCGGGUAAGCGUGCGGUGAAAGCCCGGAGCUCAACUCCGGGUCGGCCGUGCGAACUGCUCUGCUCUAGCACUGUAGAGGCAGGUGGAAUUCCGGGUGUAGCGGUGGAAUGCGCAGAUAUCAGGAGGAACACCGAUGGCGAAGGCAGCUCGCUGGGACGGUACUGACGCUGAGGCGCGAAAGCGUGGGGAGCAAACAGG